AGAUGAAGAUGCUGUCUUUCAGGAGAGAAUAAGCUGAGACUACAAAAACCAGCUGUGGGAAGAUUUGACAGAGGACAAAAUGUAUCUAUGGCCAACAAUACUGAGAAUAAAAUUAUUUUAAUGAGGAGGAACACGCAUACUGUCCUACUCACUAAAGUUGGAUUGAAGGAGAAAAUCAGAUGGACAGGAUGUGAAAACUUCUCAGACGGAAGGAAACUGACCCAAUAAAUUUCAUUAAAGAUUUAUAUUAAUCUUUAAGUCAGCAUAACUUUCUCUCAGGAAAAUUAAAUAAAUUACUUUAAUCAGUUGCUCUUUAAUCUCUA
rnacentral:lncRNA from 1 species